UAGGGAAUCUUCGGCAAUGGGGGCAACCCUGACCGAGCAACGCCGCGUGAGUGAAGAAGGUUUUCGGAUCGUAAAGCUCUGUUGUAAGUCAAGAACGGGUGUGAGAGUGGAAAGUUCACACUGUGACGGUAGCUUACCAGAAAGGGACGGCUAACUACGUGCCAGCAGCCGCGGUAAUACGUAGGUCCCGAGCGUUGUCCGGAUUUAUUGGGCGUAAAGCGAGCGCAGGCGGUUUGAUAAGUCUGAAGUUAAAGGCUGUGGCUCAACCAUAGUUCGCUUUGGAAACUGUCAAACUUGAGUGCAGAAGGGGAGAGUGGAAUUCCAUGUGUAGUGGUGAAAUGCGUAGAUAUAUGGAGGAACACCGGUGGCGAAAGCGGCUCUCUGGUCUGUAACUGACGCUGAGGCUCGAAAGCGUGGGGAGCGAACAGGAUUAGAUACCCUGGUAGUCCACGCCGUAAACGAUGAGUGCUAGGUGUUGGAUCCUUUCCGGGAUUCAGUGCCGCAGCUAACGCAUUAAGCACUCCGCCUGGGGAGUACGACCGCAAGGUUGAAACUCUAAAGUGAAUU
rnacentral:rRNA from 1 species